AGGGAACGAGGCUUGGUCUUAGCACGGGGUCUAAGGCCCGGGCUUUUCCUCCCAG
rnacentral:miRNA from 1 species